CUUGGACAUUUUAUAUCUUGUUUAUACUGUUAUGGAUUCAGGAUUUACUAUGGUUACUAUGAUGCACCAUAACAAUGUCUAACAAUCCAAGACAUAGAUGAUAUGUUAUUGUAAAAUGGUUGUAUUAUCUUGACACUUGUCUGUUGUAUGCAAAUUAUGUGUCUUACCCCUACCACAAAAAUCUAGGGAAAUGGAUAGGGAAAGAAAAAGGAAAAGGAGGGGACGGACUUUGGGCUUCAUGGUGGUUGAACAUGUAUCAUGUGAGCUCCAGGCAUAACCGUUAUAUUUCACUGAAUACACAAUAAUCUGGAAGCCCACAAGUCAAAACUCAGAAUUUACCUGUGCCUGGAGCCGGUUGUAGUGCCUCUGAUCAAACAACACAAUCAUCUCUUGAAUGCCUGAAGAUUGUUUUAGCAGGUCCUAGUGUAUGUACCAGAUAUAUGUAGGGAUUAUGUAGAGAUUCAUUUUAGUCAAGAUACAUGAAAUCAAUAGUUAGGAAUCACAUACCUUGGAUGGAAGUGUAAAAAGUAUGGAGUAUAGAUGAAUUCGAGAAGGUUAGAGAAACCUAAAUGACUACAUAUAACCAUCAUUUAAUUAUACCUCGGGAUUCUGCUAGACCCACCUGGUGUAAUUAAAACAGACAUAAUACAUGAAUUUUGUUAAAAUUCCUCAUCAGAGUACAGGAUGGUGAAUCUAAUAUAUAACAUAAAUAUAAAGUUACAUAAUACAUAGGAAAUUAUUGGGAGAGUAUAUAUAAAAAAUGAUUAUGUGACUUGAUUGGAAAAAUGAACAUACCAACCUACCCCUAAAUUACUGGAACCGGGAUACAAUGGACCUCAGUAAAUUACUGGAAUACUAUUCAAACGGGACCAGUGUUCUUAUUGAUGGUCAGGGCUCAAUUAUUUAGAUCUAGGUAAAAAAAAAAAAACAUAUUUGUGAGAACCAUUUGGACUUCAAAUAAUUCAUAUGCAUAGAACAUGCUGGAUCGGAACCUGAACAGCACCAACCUGGAUUAUACAAACACGGAUUUAGGUGAUAAGCAUACAACAAUAACGACAACAUGAUGUAGCAAGGCCAGCACCAAUGCUAUAUUUAUGUACAUUGUUUGUCAUAAGCAUUAUCAAGGUAACGUAAUUAUAGACAGUAAACUUUCAUAAAAACACAUAAG